rnacentral:rRNA from 1 species
GGAUUAGAUACCCUGGUAGUCCACGCUGUAAACGAUGUCGACUAGCCGUUGGGGAACUUGAUUCUUUAGUGGCGCAGCUAACGCACUAAGUCGACCGCCUGGGGAGUACGGCCGCAAGGUUAAAACUCAAAUGAAUUGACGGGGGCCCGCACAAGCGGUGGAGCAUGUGGUUUAAUUCGAUGCAACGCGAAGAACCUUACCAGGCCUUGACAUCCUGCGAACUUCUUAGAGAUAGGAAGGUGCCUUCGGGAGCGCAGUGACAGGUGCUGCAUGGCUGUCGUCAGCUCGUGCCG